UCCCUGGUAACUCAAAUGGAAAAGUGUCUGUCUGCAAUGCAGGAGACCUGGGUUCGAUUCCUGGGUUGGGAA
rfam:TPA: Bos taurus chromosome 14, whole genome shotgun sequence.